rnacentral:misc_RNA from 1 species
AAAGUCGUAACAAGGUUUCCGUAGGUGAACCUGCGGAAGGAUCAUUAACACGUAUCCACGUUAAAUUCAACCACCACGAACUGUGCUCCCUAGUCGCCAACUUCUGCGCUGUCCGAUACAGGGUCUAAUGGAGUUGCAACAUUCGAUCUUCUGCGAGAGCUUGUUGUAGCAUACUUGUAUCCGACUAUCACUCCUCCGAGAGUGUGGCAAAGUAACCGGCAAUGACUAUGCUUAUUUUCAUCAAUCCAUUCACUCAACCAUUUUGAGUGUGUGGUGCGAUACCCAUACCUAAUUUCACCCUAUUUUACCUAUUUGACUAAUUUAUGAGUUUCGAUGGGAGAAAUCCUAUUGGAAUGACCUAAGAUUUAUCUUAACUAAGCACAACUCUUAGCAAUGGAUAUCUUGGUUCUC